rnacentral:rRNA from 1 species
AGGGCAGUCUGGUGCCAGCAGCCGCGGUAAUUCCAGCUCCAAUAGCGUAUAUUAAACUUGUUGCAGUUAAAAAGCUCGUAGUUGAAUUUCUGCGUUGCCCGACUCGGCUACUUGCCUUGUCUGGUUUCGCUUUUGGGGUUUUCCCCUUUUUACUUUGAGAAAAUUAGAGUGUUUCAAGCAGACUUGUGUCUUGAAUACUUCAGCAUGGAAUAAUAAAGUAGGACUUUGGUUCUAUUUUGUUGGUUUGUGAACCUUAGUAAUGGUUAAUAGGAACGGUUGGGGGCAUUCGUAUUUAACUGUCAGAGGUGAAAUUCUUAGAUUUGUUAAAGACGAACUACUGCGAAAGCAUUUGCCAAGGACGUUUUCAUUAAUCAAGAACGAAAGUUAGGGGAUCGAAGACGAUCAGAUACCGUCGUAGUCCUAACCAUAAACCAUGCCGACUAGGGAUUGGAGGUCGUCAUUUUUCGACUCCUUCAGCACCUUGAGAGAAAU